rnacentral:tRNA from 1 species
GGGGGGUAUGGCGGAAUUGGUAGACGCUGUGGACUU